GACGAACGCUGGCGGCGUGCUUAACACAUGCAAGUCGAACGGAAAGGCCCUGCUUUUGUGGGGUGCUCGAGUGGCGAACGGGUGAGUAACACGUGAGUAACCUGCCCUUGACUUUGGGAUAACUUCAGGAAACUGGGGCUAAUACCCGAUAGGAGCUCCUGCUGCAUGGUGGGGGUUGGAAAGUUUCGGCGGUUGGGGAUGGACUCGCGGCUUAUCAGCUUGUUGGUGGGGUAGUGGCUUACCAAGGCUUUGACGGGUAGCCGGCCUGAGAGGGUGACCGGCCACAUUGGGACUGAGAUACGGCCCGGACUCCUACGGGAGGCAGCAGUGGGGAAUAUUGCACAAUGGGCGGAAGCCUGAUGCAGCAACGCCGCGUGCGGGAUGACGGCCUUCGGGUUGUAAACCGCUUUCGCCUGUGACGAAGCGUGAGUGACGGUAAUGGGUAAAGAAGCACCGGCUAACUACGUGCCAGCAGCCGCGGUGAUACGUAGGGUGCGAGCGUUGUCCGGAUUUAUUGGGCGUAAAGGGCUCGUAGGUGGUUGAUCGCGUCGGAAGUGUAAUCUUGGGGCUUAACCCUGAGCGUGCUUUCGAUACGGGUUGACUUGAGGAAGGUAGGGGAGAAUGGAAUUCCUGGUGGAGCGGUGGAAUGCGCAGAUAUCAGGAGGAACACCAGUGGCGAAGGCGGUUCUCUGGGCCUUUCCUGACGCUGAGGAGCGAAAGCGUGGGGAGCGAACAGGCUUAGAUACCCUGGUAGUCCACGCUGUAAACGGUGGGUACUAGGUGUGGGGUCCAUUCCACGGGUUCCGUGCCGUAGCUAACGCUUUAAGUACCCCGCCUGGGGAGUACGGCCGCAAGGCUAAAACUCAAAGGAAUUGACGGGGCCCCGCACAAGCGGCGGAGCAUGCGGAUUAAUUCGAUGCAACGCGUAGAACCUUACCUGGGUUUGACAUGGAUCGGGAGUGCUCAGAGAUGGGUGUGCCUCUUUUGGGGUCGGUUCACAGGUGGUGCAUGGCUGUCGUCAGCUCGUGUCGUGAGAUGUUGGGUUAAGUCCCGCAACGAGCGCAACCCUUGUUCACUGUUGCCAGCACGUUAUGGUGGGGACUCAGUGGAGACCGCCGGGGUCAACUCGGAGGAAGGUGGGGAUGACGUCAAGUCAUCACGCCCCUUAUGUCCAGGGCUUCACGCAUGCUACAAUGGCCGGUACAGAGAGUGGCGAGCCUGUGAGGGUGAGCGAAUCUCGGAAAGCCGGUCUCAGUUCGGAUUGGGGUCUGCAACUCGACCUCAUGAAGUCGGAGUCGCUAGUAAUCGCAGAUCAGCAACGCUGCGGUGAAUACGUUCCCGGGGCU
rnacentral:rRNA from 1 species